UGGUAGAGCACCUGACUCUUAAUCAGGGUGUCCAGGGUUCGAGCCCCUGAUCGUCCACCA
rnacentral:tRNA from 1 species